GUAGGUGGCGAGCGUUGUCCGGAAUUACUGGGUGUAAAGGGCGUGUAGGCGGGUCUGCAAGUCAGAUGUGAAAUUCCGGGGCUUAACCCCGGCGCUGCAUUUGAAACUGCGGAUCUUGAGUAUCGGAGAGGGAAGUGGAAUUCCUAGUGUAGCGGUGAAAUACGUAGAUAUUAGGAGGAACACCAGUGGCGAAGGCGACUUUCUGGACGAUAACUGACGCUGAGGCGCGAAAGCGUGGGGAGCAAACAGGAUUAGAUACCCUGGUAGUCCACGCCGUAAACGAUGGAUACUAGGUGUGGGGGGUAUCGACCCCCCCCGUGCCGCAGCUAACGCAAUAAGUAUCCCACCUGGGGAGUACGGCCGCAAGGUUG
rnacentral:rRNA from 1 species